rnacentral:rRNA from 1 species
ANUCUAAUACCGGAUAAAAGCUACUUUCGCAUGAAAGAAGUUUAAAAGGCGGCGUAAGCUGUCGCUAAAGGAUGGACCUGCGAUGCAUUAGCUAGUUGGUAAGGUAACGGCUUACCAAGGCGAUGAUGCAUAGCCGAGUUGAGAGACUGAUCGGCCACAUUGGGACUGAGACACGGCCCAAACUCCUACGGGAGGCAGCAGCU